AGUGAACGCUGGCGGUAGGCCUAACACAUGCAAGUCGAACGGCAGCACAGUAGGAGCUUGCUCUUACGGGUGGCGAGUGGCGGACGGGUGAGGAAUACAUCGGAAUCUACUUUUUCGUGGGGGAUAACGCAGGGAAACUUACGCUAAUACCGCAUACGACCUACGGGUGAAAGCAGGGGAUCUUCGGACCUUGCGCGAUUGAAUGAGCCGAUGUCGGAUUAGCUAGUUGGCGGGGUAAAGGCCCACCAAGGCGACGAUCCGUAGCUGGUCUGAGAGGAUGAUCAACCACACUGGAACUGAGACACGGUCCAGACUCCUACGGGAGGCAGCAGUGGGGAAUAUUGGACAAUGGGCGCAAGCCUGAUCCAGCCAUACCGCGUGGGUGAAGAAGGCCUUCGGGUUGUAAAGCCCUUUUGUUGGGAAAGAAAAGCAGCAGGUUAAUACCCCGCUGUUCUGACGGUACCCAAAGAAUAAGCACCGGCUAACUUCGUG
rnacentral:rRNA from 1 species